NNCUGCCUCUCUGCCUACUUGUGAUCUCUCUCUCUCUGUCAAAUAAAUAAAUAAAAUCUUUAAAAAAAAAAUAAAACCAGGAGGAAACAAUAUACUGCAGUUGCUACAACCCAAUAUGUAGGUUCAAUUUCCUCUUUGUCAUUUACAAAUCAUGUGCUUUUAUGCAAGUAACUUGUCUGUGCCUUGGGUCUCUUGUCUCUAAUGUGGGGAUAUCAAUAUCCCAUGAGCUUGUUGGUGGGUUAAAUAGCUUAUACACAGAAAGUUCUUGGAGCAGUCCCCAUAGCAAUGGCUCAGUAAGUACUGUCAAUGAGGGGCGCCUGGGUGGCUCAGCUGGUUAAAUGUCUACCUUCAGCUCAGGUCAUGAUCCCAGGGUCUUUGUUGGUGUCAAAAGCUGUUCUUUUGACCUUGUUCUUUGAACAAGACAAAUGCAGUCUCAAGAGAGAUCUGUCUCAGACUUUGAAAUCACAGGAGCUACCUAUGAAGAAGUGACUUAUGGCAUUCACCAGGACCAGGAUGGGGACUGGGCCUUUUUAAGGUCUUUCGGCAGAGGAGAUCUCGGCCCUGCAGAGGGUGGCUAAGGGCCAUUGUGUAGGAGGUAACGUGAGAUGAAGGUGGAAUCUGGCCUUGCUGCUUGCUUCCUACCUCUACCUGGUAAGAUUCUGAUCUUCAUUCUCAGGGAAAGGGAAACCACUGAAAGGUUUUUGUUGUUGUUGUUGUUUGUUUUUUUAAAGACUUUACUUAUU
rnacentral:lncRNA from 1 species